rnacentral:tRNA from 2 species
UCCCCCGUAGCUCAAUGGCAGAGCAUUCGGCUGUUAACCGAAGGGUUACUGGUUCGAGUCCAGUCGGGGGAG